GCUUUAUGCAUAGAGUUUGGCUACAUAAAAGAACGGGUGGUGUUUGUUUGUCCAUUGCUUCAAAAGGGUUAGCAAUCACCGGGAUAGGUGAUUGAAGAUAUUGGAAUCAUAUCCCAACUGAAGAAUCUAGGUUCUUGCUUGGAACAAAUUAGUAAAUGCUUUAAAAAUAAAAUGACCUUUGCAAAUUGUUAGUGAGAUUAGUAAAGGGCAGACUAUUGAAAGCCAAAACCGUAGAGCACUCCACUGCAGAGCAUACUAUGCAAGCCAUAGUCCAAUUAUAAAUUUUAUAAAUGUGGUUUUUUCUUCUUCUUUUUUUUUGUAUUUUAUUGGGUUUGUUUAUGUGAGGAAUAAUGGUUAAUGGGUGUUUGAUUAAUUAUAUAUUGAACUGAAUUUACAAUGAUGGGCAUGGAUAUCUAAUGUUA